rnacentral:tRNA from 3 species
GCCCCGGUAGCUCAGUGGAUAGAGCAGCGGCCUUCUAAGCCGUUGGUCGGAGGUUCGAGUCCUCUCCGGGGCGCCA